GCAUUAAUGGGGUAGUGGUAACCUGGGUCGUUGCCAUAUUGUUCUUCGAUAGGUUUCUGUAGGUUUCGACCCGCCGGGGGUUCGAUUCCCCCUUAAUGCA